GUCCUAGCUCAGUCGGUAGAGCACCAGAUUCGAACUCUGGCUGUCGGGGGUUCGACUCCCCCGGACA
rnacentral:tRNA from 1 species